GCCUCCUUAGCUCAGUGGUAGAGCGCCCGCCUUGUAAGCGGAUGGUCAUCAGUUCGAAUCUGUUAGGAGGCUCCA
rnacentral:tRNA from 1 species